UACGUAGGAGGCGAGCGUUGUCCGGAAUCAUUGGGCGUAAAGAGCGCGCAGGCGGCUUGGCAAGUCGGGUGUGAAAUCCCGGGGCUCAACCCCGUGACUGCAUCCGAUACUGUCAGGCUAGAGGUAGGUAGGGGAGAUCGGAAUUCCUGGUGUAGCGGUGAAAUGCGCAGAUAUCAGGAGGAACACCGAUGGCGAAGGCAGCCCCCUGGGCUAACACUGACGCUCAUGCACGAAAGCGUGGGGAGCAAACAGG
rnacentral:rRNA from 1 species